GUAAUAUAAGAUACGGUCUCUUAGCUUUUAACUAAAAAAACUAAGAGACGUCUCUUAAAUAAGAGAUAUAAGAGACGUCUCUUAGUUUUUUUAGUUAAAAGGUAAGAAACUGUAUAUUAUAUUAC
rfam:Brassica napus, WGS project CCCW01000000 data, contig: 6455